GACGUAGGGCGCGAGCGUUGUCCGGAUUUAUUGGGCGUAAAGAGCUCGUAGGCGGUUUGUCGCGUCGUUCGUGAAAACUCACAGCUUAACUGUGAGCUUGCGGUCGAUACGGGCAGGCUAGAGUUCGGUAGGGGAGACUGGAAUUCCUGGUGUAGCGGUGAAAUGCGCAGAUAUCAGGAGGAACACCGAUGGCGAAGGCAGGUCUCUGGGCCGAUACUGACGCUGAGGAGCGAAAGCGUGGGGAGCGAACAGG
rnacentral:rRNA from 1 species